AUUGAACGCUGGCGGCAGGCCUAACACAUGCAAGUCGAACGAGUGGCGGACGGGUGAGUAAUGUCUGGGAAACUGCCUGGUGGAUGGGGAUAACUACUGGGACCGGUAGCUACUACCGCAUACCAUCAGAUGUGCCCAGAUGGGAUUAGCUGGUAGGUGGGGUAACGGCUGACCUAGGCGACGAUCCCUAGCUGGUCUGAGAGAAUGACCAGCCACACUGGAACUGAGACACGGUCCAGACUCCUACGGGAGGCAGCAGUGGGGAAUAUUGCACAAUGGGCGCAAGCCUGAGACAGCCAUGCCGCGUGUGUGAAGAAGGCCUUCGGGUUGUAAAGCACUUUCAGCGGGGAGGCGUUACCCGCAGAAGAAGCACCGGCUAACUCCGUGCCAGCAGCCGCGGUAAUUC
rnacentral:rRNA from 1 species